rnacentral:rRNA from 1 species
UACAGAGACCUCAAGCGUUAUCCGGAAUCAUUGGGCGUAAAGCGUACCGAUAGGUGGUUAAGAAAGUCAGAUGUGAAAUCUCCGAGCUCAACUCGGAAUCUGUCAUUUGAAACUUCUUGACUAGAGGGGCAAAGAGGAAGCUGGAACGAACGGUGUAGUAGUAAAAUGCGUUGAUAUCGUUACGGAACACCAAUAGCGAAGGCAGGCUUCUGGGUGCCACCUGACACUGCUAGGACGAAAGCGUGGGGAGCGAACAGG